AAAAUUUUUCACUCCCUCGCAAAUAUUUCAGAUUCCCUCUGCUAUUUUUUGGGGUCAAAACUUAAAACUUUUUCAUCCCUCUCUCUUUUCUCGUGCGGUACCCACACUGCUCCCUCACAAAUUUCACGCUCCCUAAAAAAAUUUCAGACAUUCCCCCAACAAUUUCAGUUUCCCUGACGACCCUACACGCCCUCAAUUGCAAUCGAACUCCGAACUCUAUCGUCUCUCUCUCCUGUCUCCUCCAUUUGGUAUGUUCUCAGUCGCUUUUCUUCCCCAUCUCCUCUUGUUUUCUAUCUUCACUGCUCUCUCCAUCUCCAAUCCCUCCUCUCACAACUCUGGGUAUCAUGGGGCUCUCUCUCUCUUUCUGACAACUCUCUCUCAGAUUCUACCAUAGUAACGUUAGGGUUUCAGUUUUCAAAAAAUUUCAUUUGUAUUAAUCCAAAACUCUUCAUCUCCUUCUCCUUAGUUCAACACAUUUUCUCCUCCCAGAUCUCGCCCAAUGGCAGUCAGGUUUUGUUUCUCAAUUCUUCUCCCCUCCCUUAUUUUCGAUUCUUUUUCUUUUUUUAAUUAUUAAUUAUAUUUUAAAAAUUACUGAUUAUUAAUGUGAUUAAUCAUUUAUGAUAGUUGUGGUAUCUAUCUGGGUUCUGAAAACUGAUGGUUCUUUGGUUUUGUUUUCACAGGAAGUUGGGGAAAAAACUAAAGUUGAAAGAAAGUUGGAACUUUGUUCCUUACACCUGUGCUGUAUUUGUCAGAUUUGGUGGUGAUUUCUGUGUCUUGGAACUUUCUAUUUGUUGCUGAUUUUUGUGUUGGGGGUUUUAGUUUUUGCUAUUUUGGCUUUUUUUUUUUUUUUCUCCUUUAAAGGGCUUAAACUCUGAUGAUCUGCCAAAAGAACAAAAAUUUAUCUUUGUUGCUGAUUUUUUUUUUUUUUUUUUGGGCUUUCAGUUUUGGCUUUUAUUUUUUAUUUUAUAUAUUUUUUUAUCCUUUUCUGCAAAGGGCUUAAACUCUGAUUAUUUGCCAAAUGAACAUAAAAAAGGGGAUUGGUUAUGCAGCAUAGUCCAAGGGGAUUGGUUAUGCAGCAUAUUCCAAGGGAUUUGGUUUCUCAAUUUAGUUUAUAAUUAUCAAAUUGUACGUCAUGCGUUCUUUAUACAUCACUGUUACUAAUCAUAGUACAUACUCUGUAGAUCGAAUGCUUUCCAAAAAAAGAAAAAGAAGUUUUACAUGUAGAGGAGAACGUCAGAUAUCAUGGCUCUAAUUUAUGGCUUCCAGGUUAUUGUUCUUUCUUCAGAUUGGUUGUAUUUCAUGAGUCCCACUGUUUUGGCUUUGAUUGUAAAUUUGUGAUUUAUUUGUGAAAUAUUGACUUAUUAAGUUUGAAAUAUUAGUUGUGGUAGUAUGCAAGGGAGGCCAAAGAGGAAAUCGUUUUGAUGAACUCAACUAAUUGAGGCGGUUAGUUUUACGAAUGUGUUAUCCCUUGUUUUUUUUCGUUCUUAUUAUUAUGUUCUUCGUUGAUUCAUUUGAAGUCCUGUUUUGUGUUUAUUGUGGUGUUCUUCUCUACCACUCUUAUAUUGUUGGUUUAUGUUGUUGUCCUAAAUUCACUUCUCAAAACCCACCUUGAUUCAUAUUGGAGUUUGAAGUUUCAAUCUUGGGCUGUGAUUUUUGCAGAUUUUUGGUUUUUCAAUUUCUAUUUGGAGAGCAUAUGCAGAUAAGGUGAGCAUAUUUCAUAUUACUUUUGGACUAUUUGCUCAUUCAUCAGUUUCUAAUUGAGUUUAGGUUUCAAUCUUCAGUUUGAUUUAUAUUUAGAUGCACUUACAGACAAGGAUUCUAGAUUAGUUUUUCAGUAGUUGAUGUUUAAUUUUUGGUUUGGCUAUUAGGCUCUCUAGUCAUAAAUUUCAAGUUGAUGUGAUUCAAUAGCUCUGUACUUAAAGAGAAUCUUGAAGGACAUGUUAGAAGAUGCCCAUUACUCAAACAAGUGCAGUCUUUGACUUUCCAACCCUUUUACCAAAAGAGUAUCAAUGCUGGCAAAGAAGAGGACCAGUAAGAAUUAGAAACAUUCAGACCCAAAGGAGCUGAUGAUUUGGAAUCAUCUAAUGACCCCGAAUCAGGAUCUUUGGAUAACAUUCUUUCAGAAAUGAAGAGGAAUGUUGUUUAUAGUAACAAAUUGGUUUCUAUAAAUUAAUUGAGAAAAUUGAGCAUGUUCAUGAAUCUGUAUGCAAGGAUAUUCAGGACUCAUAUAAGGUAUUGGAAGCUUGUGGGAUAUGGAUUAAACGAGAGGUUGACAGGUAUAUAUGCGCUGGAAUGUUCGUUUCAUUCUUGAUGUGGUGCUACACGUAGAGCUCGCUCUCACGAGUUCGUAGACACGUAGUGGGCCCAUAAUAAUGUAAUUUUAAAAAUGUAAUUUUAAUAAGAUUUUUUUUAUUGUAUUUAAUUCCUAAUAUUCAUGAUAAAUUCAAAAAAAAAAUUUGGAAAAUAAACUGAC
rnacentral:lncRNA from 1 species